rnacentral:rRNA from 1 species
AUGCUCCUGGAAGAGGUCCAGCUUGAUGAGCUUACGGAUGAUGGCAUCUCGUGGAAGCACUCGGCCUCUGGCCAGUACACGGCGGCCUCUGCUUACAAGGCACAAUUUUUGGUCCUGGUUCUUUCCCCCAUGGACCAAAUGGUUUGGAAGGCCUGGGCGCCACCGAAAGUGAAGUUUUUUGCUUGGCUUGCGCUUCAGGACAGAAUUUGGAUUGCCGACCGGUUGGCCAAGUGA